rnacentral:rRNA from 1 species
GUCCACGCUAUAAACGAUGAGGGCUGGGUGUUGGUUUCAUUUGGAAUCAGUGCCGAAGCAAACGCGUUAAGCCCUCCGCCUGGGGGACUACGAACGCAAGUUUAAAACUCAAAGGAAUAGACGGGGGCCCGCACAAGCAGCGGAGCGUGUGGUUCAAUUCGAUGCAACACGAAGAACCUUACCAGGGCUUGACAUGCAUGUGGUAGGAAAGGGAACCGGACCGACCCGCAAGGGAGCGUGCACAGGUGCUGCAUGGCUGUCGU